GGAGAGAUGUCUGAGUGGCUUAAGGAGCACGCUUGGAAAGCGUGUGUACUAUAAUGGUACCGAGGGUUCGAAUCCCUCUCUCUCCGCCA
rnacentral:tRNA from 1 species